rnacentral:pre_miRNA from 1 species
AUGUAGAGGAAUCUGCCUUUAAAAAGGGAUAAAUUAAAAGAAAUGAAUCAAAAUUUUCCCAAGUCAAGCAUCUUGU